AUUGAACGCUGGCGGCAUGCCUUACACAUGCAAGUCGAACGGUAACAGGUCUUCGGAUGCUGACGAGUGGCGAACGGGUGAGUAAUACAUCGGAACGUGCCCGAUCGUGGGGGAUAACGAAGCGAAAGCUUUGCUAAUACCGCAUAAGAUCUACGGAUGAAAGCAGGGGACCGCAAGGCCUUGCGCGAACGGAGCGGCCGAUGGCAGAUUAGGUAGUUGGUGGGGUAAAGGCUCACCAAGCCAACGAUCUUUAGCGGGUCUGAGAGGACGACCAGCAAGAAUGGAACGGAGACCCGGUCCAGACUCCUACGGGAGGCAGCAGUGGGGAAUUUUGAACAGUGGACGCAAGUCUGAUCCAGCAAUGCCGCGUGAAGGACGAAGGCCUUCGGGUUGUAAACUGUUUUUGUACGGAACGAAACGGCGAGCUCUAAUACAGUUUGCUAAUGACGGUACCGUAAGAAUAAGCACCGGCUAACUACGUGCCAGCCGCCGCGGAAA
rnacentral:rRNA from 1 species